UUUCUCAAGUCUCCAAGGAUGAAAACGGCAUCCUCGCGCUGCAGCCAGGUCAUUCCAGGCGCUAGUCCUCAUGAUUCGGCUGAAAGAUCAGAGAGCGCCACCGGAGCUAGUAAGGUAAAAGCAGCAUCUUCUCGUGCCCGUCGGAGCCGAAGUGAAUUGAUGGCAGGGUAGCCAGAAAAAAACAGACCAUGCGCACCGCCGGGAUAUCUCAUUCCCCAAAAAUGUGGAUCCCACAGAAUUCUGGCUCAUUGCUGUGUCUAGACUGGGAACUGUGACAUGAAGCCAGCUUCUAAAAGUCUGUUUUGGAAAAGUGGUGGGUUUUUUUCUCCCUGUUAGAAAAUAGGCCUCUUCAGGAAGCAACUGAAGGUUAAGUGGCUUUUUCAAGAUGCUUCUGCCCGUCAUUGGUUUGAAAUAGACGGCCAGCCAAUCGCCAACAACUUCCUGGGAGGAGCUAUAAAUGGGGAGGAGCUUGCUUUCCCAAAUUUUAAUUUUCUAUUCUUCCAGGGCUUGAAGGGGGAAAAAGAAAAACACUGUUCCCAUUUUGGUUGAAGCCCAAAGUCUC